AUGUACAUGACCUUGGUGAUACAUCCAUCGGCGGCUGGUAUCAGAAGCCGCGAGAAUCCGACAGAAUCGCAGUGGCUUUUGGCUUGUCGGAGCAGAUCGGAAACGGGAGCGGUUGGCAACGAUUCCUCCACUUCUCCUUACUGUAACCUUUUUCUGUUUAUUCUUCCCUAUAAACCUUCUUUCUCCUACUGUGAUUCUUCUUUUUUGGUUCCUCCCCCCCCCCCCCCCCUUCAUUGUGAUUAUCUUCUUCGUUUUAUAG